GACGAACGCUGGCGGCGUGCUUAACACAUGCAAGUCGAGCGGAAAGGCCCUUUCGGGGGUACUCGAGCGGCGAACGGGUGAGUAACACGUGAGUAAUCUGCCCUUGGCUUUGGGAUAACUACCGGAAACGGUGGCUAAUACCGGAUACGACGCACUCAGGCAUCUGAUGUGUGUGGAAAGUUUUUUCGGCCAGGGAUGUGCUCGCGGCCUAUCAGCUUGUUGGUGGGGUAAUGGCCUACCAAGGCUUCGACGGGUAGCCGGCCUGAGAGGGUGACCGGCCACACUGGGACUGAGACACGGCCCAGACUCCUACGGGAGGCAGCAGUGGGGAAUAUUGGACAAUGGGCGGAAGCCUGAUCCAGCAACGCCGCGUGAGGGAUGACGGCC
rnacentral:rRNA from 1 species